UUCAGGUAGCUCCGCUGGUUAGAGCAAAGGACUGAAAAUCCCUUUAUGAGUGGCACUACCUGAAUCCA
rnacentral:tRNA from 1 species